AACAGUUUUUAGCAUUGCUUUAAUAUUCUCAAUUCAUUUAUAAAAUUAAAAGAUAAAAAUAUAUGGCUAAAAUUAUCAAAUUUCUUUAUGCUAUAGUUUUGUUUUUCUCCCUAUUCUUUCUUUUAGCGACUAGCCUUCCAUGUGAAACUCAUGAAGAUUGUAGAAAGAUGUAUAUCGGGGAUAAGUUUGAAGCCCGAGUCACGUGCGUUCAAGGAACCUGUUAUUUUAUUAUGGUGUUAUAAGGAAGAAAUAUACAUAAAAAAUAUGAAAAAUAUAAUUUAUGGUAGAAUAUUUCAUAAGUUGUCAUUUAUGAUUUAUGCUUCCAACUAAGAAUUGUAUUUUUAUAUACUUUGAAAUUAUGACU